GAUCACCUACGGGAGGCAGCAGUGAGGAAUAUUGGUCAAUGGCCGGAAGGCUGAACCAGCCAAGCCGCGUGAAGGACGAAGGUGCCAAGCAUUGUAAACUUCUUUUGUCAAGGGGCAAAAUCAGGCUCGAGAGCCUGACCGAGGGUACUUGAAGAAAAAGCAUCGGCUAACUCCGUGCCAGCAGCCGCGGUAAUACGUAGGGGGCAAGCGUUAUCCGGAUUUACUGGGUGUAAAGGGAGCGUAGACGGCGAAGAAAGUCUGAAGUGAAAGCCCGCGGCUCAACCGCGGAAUGGCUUUGGAAACUU
rnacentral:rRNA from 1 species